rnacentral:rRNA from 1 species
GAGACCCACGCCAACAGUUGCCAGCUCGUCCUCCGGGAUGGUGGGGACACUGUUGGGACCGCCUCUGCUAAAGAGGAGGAAGGAAUGGGCAACGGUAGGUCAGCAUGCCCCGAAUUAUCCGGGCUACACGCGGGCUACAAUGGGUGGGACAAUGGGUAUCGACACCGAAAGGUGAAGGCGAUCUCCUAAACCCAUCCUUAGUUCGGAUUGUGGGCUGCAACUCGCCCACAUGAAGCUGGAAUCUGUAGUAAUCGUGUCUCAACAUGGCACGGUGAAUAU